rnacentral:rRNA from 1 species
GACGUAGGGCGCGAGCGUUGUCCGGAAUCAUUGGGCGUAAAGGGCGCGUAGGUGGCCCGGUCAGUUCGUGGUGAAAGCGCGGGGCUCAACCCCGCGUCGGCCAUGAAUACUGCUGGGCUUGAGCACUGUAGAGGCAGGCGGAAUUCCGGGUGUAGCGGUGGAAUGCGUAGAGAUCCGGAAGAACACCGGUGGCGAAGGCGGCCUGCUGGGCAGUAGCUGACACUGAGGCGCGACAGCGUGGGGAGCAAACAGG